rnacentral:rRNA from 1 species
CGCUUCAGGAUGGGACUGCGACUGAUCAGGCUGUUGGCGGGGUAAUGGCCCACCAAACCAAUAACCAGUACGGGCCUUGAGAGAGGGGGCCCGGAGAUGGACACUGAGAGAAGGGUCCAGGUCCUACGGGGCGCAGCAGGCGCGAAACCUUCGCAAUGCGCGAAAGCGUGACGAGGUUAAUCCGAGUGGUUCCCGCUGAGGGAAUCUUUUGUCGGCUGUAAAAAGGCCGGUGAAUAAGGGGAGGGCAAGUCUGGUGUCAGCCGCCGCGGUAAUACCAGCUCCUCGAGUGGUCGGGGCGAUUAUUGGGCCUAAAGCAUCCGUAGCCGGUUCUGUAGGUCCUCUGUUAAAUCCAACGGCUUAACCGUUGGCCUGCAGAGGAUACCGCAGGACUAGGAGGCGGGAGAGGUGGACGGUACUCUACGUGUAGGGGUAAAAUCCUUUGAUCCGUGGAAGACCACCAGUGGCGAAGGCGGUCUGCCAGAACGCGCUCGACGGUGAGGGAUGAAAGCUGGGGGAGCGAACCGGAUUAGAUACCCGGGUAGUCCCAGCCGUAAACGAUGCGAGCUAGAUGAUUCAGUCGCAAAUCGCGAUUGAAGUGUCGCAGGGAAGCCGUUAAGCUCGCCGCCUGGGGAGUACGGUCGCAAGACUGAAACUUAAAGGAAUUGGCCGGGAU